UACGUAGGGGGCAAGCGUUAUCCGGAUUUACUGGGUGUAAAGGGAGCGUAGACGGCAAUACAAGUCGGAAGUGAAAUACCCGGGCUUAACCUGGGAACUGCUUUGGAGACUGUAUGGCUGGAGUGCUGGAGAGGUAAGCGGAAUUCCUAGUGUAGCGGUGAAAUGCGUAGAUAUUAGGAGGAACACCAGUGGCGAAGGCGGCUUACUGGACAGUAACUGACGUUGAGGCUCGAAAGCGUGGGGAGCAAACAGG
rnacentral:rRNA from 1 species